UACGGGGGGGGGCAAGCGUUGUUCGGAAUUACUGGGCGUAAAGGGCGCGUAGGCGGUUCGCUAAGUUGAAUGUGAAAACUCUGGGCUUAACCCAGAGCCUGCAUCCAAAACUGGCGAACUGGAGUACUGGAGGGGAAACGCGGAAUUCCUGGUGUAGCGGUGAAAUGCGUAGAUAUCAGGAGGAACACCGGUGGCGAAGGCGGCUCUCUGGGGACGGUACUGACGCUGAGACGCGAAAGCGUGGGGAGCGAACAGG
rnacentral:rRNA from 1 species